AGGGUUCCGUUUCGAACAGACGUCGAGAGAAAAUCGGUUACCUGGUUCAGUUCUACUCAAAAUUUCUCGCUGACCGGACGUCCGGUCCAGAGGAUCGCGAUCGAAUCUUCUUACUGCUUAUCUCGCGAGUUUUCCUCGGUUUGGUCAUUGAAAAUCACGAAACAGUGCGUGACUGAGUGAUUUAUGGUUAUGUGGGUUCGUGGCUGGUGGUGUUUCUUUACUUGGACGACGUCCGAUACACACCGCGCGGAAUCAUCGAGAACAGUUCGACAUAGAAUUCUGGCAAGGAACCCUCUUCUGGUAGUUCUUGAAAUUUCCUUCAAUUACCGGCACACAGAGCGAGCUUGUAGCUGUUGUGAGCGUUUAACAAGGACCACGUGUGUAAGACAAUUCUCGACGGUUGUUACGGUCCGAGGAUCGUAGCACGAGCAACGACAAACAACAACAGGAUUCAGCUGCUGCUGUUUCUGCCCACGCAACGACCAACAAAUGUCAGAACUGUAAUCCGGAUGAAAUUAAAGCGCAGAAUUAGCUGUGCCAGUUCACAGAGAGCAACGUGAAAUCUUGAAGAUCUCUGUGAAGAAGAAGAAGAAGAAACAAAACGGUCGUCAAAAUGAACGAAUGUAGUUGCUUGAGAUAUCGCCAAAGGGUGAUUAAUGAACACGGAAGAAGUAGAAGAAGAAGAAGAAGAAGAAGAAGAAGAUGGUAGAAGAAGAAGUCGAGAAUUCGGCCGCUGUCAGCUGGAACACGAGAUCGUCCCGAGGAAUAUUCUUUUUAAUCCGCUCAUAAAUCCGCGCCGCGAAAUUCGCCUGGUGAACGAGCCGUGAGCGCGAUUAAAUAUUAACUACGUGGUCGAUUAUGUAAUUAAAAGGGUAUUCGUAGUAAUUGGGAGGACGGGGGCUUAACGAGCUUUCUAAAAUUUCCGAAGAUAAUUGCGCGUGCAGCCCGCGUGAUUAUCGGCGGUUCGCUAAUUACGGGCUAACGCGGAUCGUUUCUCUUUUCCAGCUAUUACGCUUCGAGUCGCCGCGGAAACUGGCAAACGCGCCCACGAGAUCCUGCAACUUCCUUAUCUUGCUUUUCGACUUUCCGUUCGAAACAGGAACUACCAUCCAGGAACUUUGCUACCCAACCACCGUUCCUAUCCUCAGCCUAUAACUUUGCGCCCCGUUUUCGCAUCGAUACGCACCAUCUACCCUUAGCACGCUUCGAAAUCGCUUCAGUAAUUGUUUCUAGGUGAAACGAUCGUUUCUCGAUCCA